UGCAUGUCUAAGUAUAAGCAAUUAUACCGCGAAACUGCGAAUGGCUCAUUAUAUAAGUUAUCGUUUAUUUGAUAGUACCUUACUACUUGGAUAACCGUGGUAAUUCUAGAGCUAAUACAUGCUAAAAAUCCCGACUUCGGAAGGGAUGUAUUUAUUAGAUUAAAAACCAAUGCCCUUCGGGGCUCACUGGUGAUUCAUGAUAACUCCUCGAAUCGCAUGGCCUUGUGCCGGCGAUGGUUCAUUCAAAUUUCUUCCCUAUCAACUUUCGAUGUUUGGGUAUUGGCCAAACAUGGUUGCAACGGGUAACGGAGGGUUAGGGCUCGACCCCGGAGAAGGAGCCUGAGAAACGGCUACUACAUCCAAGGAAGGCAGCAGGCGCGCAAAUUACCCAAUCCCGACACGGGGAGGUAGUGACAAUAAAUACUGAUACAGGGCUCUUUUGGGUCUUGUAAUUGGAAUGAGUACAAUUUAAAUCCCUUAACGAGGAACAAUUGGAGGGCAAGUCUGGUGCCAGCAGCCGCGGUAAUUCCAGCUCCAAUAGCGUAUAUUAAAGUUGUUGUGGUUAAAAAGCUCGUAGUUGAACCUUGGGCCUGGCUGGCCGGUCCGCCUCACCGCGUGUACUGGUCCGGCCGGGCCUUUCCCUCUGUGGAACCCCAUGCCCUUCACUGGGUGUGGCGGGGAAACAGGACUUUUACUGUGAAAAAAUUAGAGUGCUCCAGGCAGGCCUAUGCUCGAAUACAUUAGCAUGGAAUAAUAGAAUAGGACGUGUGGUUCUAUUUUGUUGGUUUCUAGGACCGCCGUAAUGAUUAAUAGGGACAGUCGGGGGCAUCAGUAUUCAAUUGUCAGAGGUGAAAUUCUUGGAUUUAUUGAAGACUAACUACUGCGAAAGCAUUUGCCAAGGAUGUUUUCAUUAAUCAGGAACGAAAGUUAGGGGAUCGAAGA
rnacentral:rRNA from 1 species